rnacentral:rRNA from 1 species
AGCAUGCCCGAAUUAUCCGGGCUACACGCGGGCUACAAUGGUCAGGACAAUGGGUAUCGACACCGAGAGGUGGAGGCAAUCUCCUAAACCUGUCCUUAGUUCGGAUUGUGGGCUGCAACUCGCCCACAUGAAGCUGGAAUCCGUAGUAAUCGCGUUUCAAAUAGCGCGGUGAAUAUGUCCCUGCUCCUU